rnacentral:rRNA from 1 species
AUUGAACGCUGGCGGCAUGCCUUACACAUGCAAGUCGAACGGCAGCACGGGUGCUUGCACCUGGUGGCGAGUGGCGAACGGGUGAGUAAUAUAUCGGAACGUACCUUAUUGUGGGGGAUAACGCAGCGAAAGCUGUGCUAAUACCGCAUAAUCCCUAAGGGGGAAAGCGGAGGACCGUAAGGCCUCGCGCAAUUAGAGCGGCCGAUACCUGAUUAGCUAGUUGGUGAGGUAAGGGCUCACCAAGGCAACGAUCAGUAGCUGGUCUGAGAGGACGAUCAGGCACACUGGUACUGAGACACGGCCCAGACGCCUACGGGAGGCAGCAGUGGGGAAUUUUGGACAAUGGGGGCAACCCUGAUCCAGCAAUGCCGCGUGAGUGAAGAAGGCCUUCGGGUUGUAAAGCUCUUUUGUCAGGGAAGAAACAGCAGCUCUAACACAGUUUGCGAAUGACGGUACCUGAAGAAUAAGCACCGGCUAACUACGUGCCAGCCGCCGCAGUAA